rnacentral:rRNA from 1 species
GGUGAUGACCAGCUUGCUGGUCGGAUCAGUGGCGAACGGGUGAGUAACACGUGAGUAACCUGCCCCAGACUCUGGGAUAAGCCUUGGAAACGAGGUCUAAUACUGGAUAUGAGAUGCCCCUGCAUGGGGAGUGUCUGGAAAGAUUUAUCGGUCUGGGAUGGACUCGCGGCCUAUCAGCUUGUUGGUGGGGUAAUGGCCUACCAAGGCGACGACGGGUAGCCGGCCUGAGAGGGCGACCGGCCACACUGGGACUGAGACACGGCCCAGACUCCUACGGGAGGCAGCAGUGGGGAAUAUUGCACAAUGGGCGCAAGCCUGAUGCAGCGACGCCGCGUGAGGGAUGAAGGCCUUCGGGUUGUAAACCUCUUUCAGCAGGGAAGAAGCGCAAGUGACGGUACCUGCAGAAGAAGCGCCGGCUAACUACGUGCCAGCAGCCGCGGUAAUACGUAGGGCGCAAGCGUUGUCCGGAAUUAUUGGGCGUAAAGAGCUCGUAGGCGGUUUGUCGCGUCUGGUGUGAAAACUCAAGGCUCAACCUUGAGCUUGCAUCGGGUACGGGCAGACUAGAGUGCGGUAGGGGUGACUGGAAUUCCUGGUGUAGCGGUGGAAUGCGCAGAUAUCAGGAGGAACACCGAUGGCGAAGGCAGGUCACUGGGCCGCAACUGACGCUGAGGAGCGAAAGCAUGGGGAGCGAACAGGAUUAGAUACCCUGGUAGUCCAUGCCGUAAACGUUGGGCACUAGGUGUGGGGCUCAUUCCACGAGUUCCGUGCCGCAGCAAACGCAUUAAGUGCCCCGCCUGGGGAGUACGGCCGCAAGGCUAAAACUCAAAGGAAUUGACGGGGGCCCGCACAAGCGGCGGAGCAUGCGGAUUAAUUCGAUGCAACGCGAAGAACCUUACCAAGGCUUGACAUACACCGGAAACUUCCAGAGAUGGUUGCCCCGCAAGGUCGGUGUACAGGUGGUGCAUGGUUGUCGUCAGCUCGUGUCGUGAGAUGUUGGGUUAAGUCCCGCAACGAGCGCAACCCUCGUCUUAUGUUGCCAGCACGUCAUGGUGGGGACUCAUAAGAGACUGCCGGGGUCAACUCGGAGGAAGGUGGGGAUGACGUCAAAUCAUCAUGCCCCUUAUGUCUUGGGCUUCACGCAUGCUACAAUGGCCGGUACAAAGGGCUGCGAUACCGCGAGGUGGAGCGAAUCCCAAAAAGCCGGUCUCAGUUCGGAUUGGGGUCUGCAACUCGACCCCAUGAAGUCGGAGUCGCUAGUAAUCGCAGAUCAGCAACGCUGCGGUGAAUACGUUCCCGGGCCUUGUACACACCGCCCGUCAAGUCACGAAAGUCGGUAACACCCGA